UACGUAGGGUGCGAGCGUUAAUCGGAAUUACUGGGCGUAAAGCGUGCGCAGGCGGUUAUUUAAGUCAGGUGUGAAAGCCCUGGGCUUAACCUAGGAAUUGCGCUUGAGACUGGAUAGCUUGGAGUGCGGCAGAGGGAGGUGGAAUUCCAACGUGUAGCAGUGAAAUGCGUAGAGAUGUGGAGGAACACCGAUGGCGAAGGCAGCCUCCUGGGCCA
rnacentral:rRNA from 1 species